rnacentral:rRNA from 1 species
CCUACGGGAGGCAGCAGUCGAGAAUCAUUCACAAUGGGGGAAACCCUGAUGGUGCGACGCCGCGUGGGGGAAUGAAGGUCUUCGGAUUGUAAACCCCUGUCAUGUGGGAGCAAAUUAAAAAGAUAGUACCACAAGAGGAAGAGACGGCUAACUCUGUGCCAGCAGCCGCGGUAAUACAGCGGUCUCAAGCGUUGUUCGGAAUCACUGGGCGUAAGGGGUGCGUAGGCUGUUUUGUAAGUCGUGUGUGAAGGGCGCGGGCUCAACCCGCGGACGGCACAUGAUACUGCGAGACUAGAGUAAUGGAGGGGGAACCGGAAUUCUCGGUGUAGCAGUGAAAUGCGUAGAUAUCGAGAGGAACACUCGUGGCGAAGGCGGGUUCCUGGACAUUAACUGACGCUGAGGCACGAAGGCCAGGGGAGCGAAAGGGAUUAGAUACCCCAGUAGUC